rnacentral:antisense_RNA from 1 species
CCUCCCAGGUUCAAGCGAUUCUCCUGCCUCAGCCUCCCAAGUAGCUGGAACUACAGAUAACUGAUACCGUGCUUCCAGAAGAUUUUUCUAACAGUGUUUGCAGGCUAUAAAAUAGUGCUUUCACUUAGAAAAGGCCAGACAUGGUGGUUCAUGCCUGUAAUCCCUAGCACUUUGAGAGGCCAAGGCACCAUGCCGGGAGAUAAGGAUCCAACAUAAGACAAACAGGGCUGAUGCUUUUGGAAAGCUCAUAUUCAAGCUGGGGAGACAAACAACAUACAAGAGGGCUCUGAGAGAUUUCAUUUCUGUCCUGCUGAUGAAGUCUACGUUCAUUCAGGGCCUGCUGUGGAAGACCAGCCCCAAAGUUGCUGAACAGAAGUCUUUUGAGAGUCAGCAGAAAUCUUCCACUUUGCAUGGUUCUCUUGAUGUGAAAUCAUCUAUAUAGCCCCAGAAUUGGAAAAGAAAAAAAUAAAAAAAUAGAAUGAAACUGGA